ensembl:lncRNA
AUGCCCCAAAACACUUUUUGUGGCUUUAAUUUUUGUUAUUUGCUGUAUCGGGGGGAAAAGAGCACUACUCUCCCUUAUUUUGUGUCUUGCGCAGAAGCUGAGCUGAAGGCCGAGGAGGGAACCCCAGGUCUGGACGCCUCUGCCAAACACCCAGCGUCUGAGGAGGCUCCCCUGGGAGGAGAGCAGAGGAUGGAGAAGGAGGGAGGGUCUUGCAGCACCCCCAGCACAGAAGGGGGAGCAGAGGCGCCUGCCGUGGGCCUGGGGGAGCCGAGAGAAGCAGCGGAAGCCGGGCCUGAAGAGCCAAGCCAGGAGGUGAAAGGGGAAGGGGGAGCAGGGCAGGAUGCGGCCAAGGCAGUGGAAGAGAGCCAUACACCAAGCCAAGCCGCCGUGGCAGGAGGGGAAGGGAGCCACGAAAGCCCACCAAGCUCCCAGCAGAAGCACCUUGAACUUCAGCAGAGCCUCAGCUGCCCAGCACACCUGCCCAGCCUAGCAGAUAUUCCGGAAGAGGCUCCGGCUGACCUCAAGGAGCCGACUCCUCAGGAACCGGCGGCUCCCACCCACAAAGCAGACCCGCCACCCCCUGGGGAAGCCAAGGAGGCCCCCCCUGAUUCGGCGCAAACCCCAGCGGCGGCAGAGCAACUGGGCCCAGCGGAUCAAGGAGAAAGGACCUUGGCCGAACCCGCUCCCUUAGCCCCAGGGGCCACAACUCAGGAUGCUGGUGAGCCCAGUGUUUCCGCAGCGCAGCCGCCGUCGGAAGGAAGUGAGACCGCGGCAACCCCUGCAGAGGUUCCGGAUACCCCAACCAGCCCAUACCUCACUCCGGACUUUGGCAAAGAGGACCCGUCCCUGAUUUUGGGUAAGGCCAUCGAGGCCUCUGGCUUUGCGGAGCCAGCUGAACGAGCCUGGUCCAGACAGAGGGAAUAGGAGUGAGGGGCAGGCGGCCAGAACAGCUCUCUUUUUAAAAAAAGGAAGGAAGGAUAUAUAUAUAUAUAUAUAUAUAUAUAUAUAUAUAUAUAUGCAGGUUUUGGUGUCCUCGGGUGUCUUCCCGUGUAAAAGUUGGGGUGUCUAGGCGACGUUUCGACGAGGUCUCACUCGUCAUCUUCAGGCUGGUGCUUUCGGCUUCUUGUUACUGGAACAGAGCAGGAUCUCAGUGUUUGAGUUCCUAUAAAUACUGUUGAGGGGGUGUGGUGUAUAGCCUCCAAUGUUCUGGGCAGAGAGGAAGUUCCCAGGCUAGUGUGCCUUUUCUUCUUUUGUUCCUUAAUUACUUGAGGGAUAUCUUGAGUGAUUUCUUGAGUGAUAUUCUGAGUACCACUUAGGUGGGUCAUUAGGUGUGGAUUAGUUGCUAAAGCCUUCGUGUCUUGACCUCUUGAACUUUGUGAAGAGUUUUUCUGAGAAGAUGGCUGUACUGCACUUAGUUGUGCUCUGGCUUGGCUUCGUGUAUAGGGGCGAGCUGUGGUUUUGUGUCCUGUGCCAGCCAGAUCUGUGUAGGGAUUGCAGGGGGGUGCAGCAUCCGGAGGUGUCACCAUGGUUUGGCUACUGGAUGGUGUCUGUAAUUUAUCUGUGGAGAGGGUCUGGGUUUGGGUCUGGUGUGGUUGAUUGGUGAUGGCGUUCUGUGUGCCUCUGGAUCUGGUGUCGGUUUUUGUGGGGAGGGCUAAUUUCCAGAUGUCUGGCAGGCGGGAUGUGUCGUCACGCUUGUUCAUGUUGUGAGGGUGUUUCUCUAUCUCGAUGGCUUCCAUGAUUAUUCUCUUGUGGUGAUGUUCCAUGUUAAAGAGCAAUUUGGAAUCUGCAAAAUUAAUUUCGUGUCCUGUUUCUUUCAUGUGUUGGAAAAGAGAGGAAGUUAGCCAAUAUAGCCAAUAUCCUCAGAAACCCCAAGGAUAAAAUCCAGUUGGAAAACCAAGGGGUCUAUGAAAUACCCUGCAAAGUCUGCCCAGCCACGUACAUUGGACAAACAAACAGACGAAUAAAUGCACGUAUCGCAGAACACAAG